rnacentral:rRNA from 1 species
ACGUAAUAGAUACCCCGGUAGUCCACGCCGUAAACGAUGGAUACUAGGUGUAGGAGGUAUCGACCCCUUCUGUGCCGCAGCAAAAACGCAAUAAGUAUCCCGCCUGGGGAGUACGAUCGCAAGGUUGAAACUCAAAGGAAUUGACGGGGGCCCGCACAAGCGGUGGAGCAUGUGGUUUAAAUUCGAUGCAACGCGAAGAACCUUACCAGGUCUUGACAUCCUACGAAUCUUAACGAAAGUUGAGAGUGCCUUCGGGAGCGUAGAGACAGGUGGUGCAUGGUUGUCGUCAGCUCGUGUCGUGAGAUGUUGGGUUAAGUCCCGCAACGAGCGCAACCCUUGCUAUUAGUUGCUAACGGGUAGAGCCGAGCACUCUAAUGGGACUGCCGGUGACAAGCCGGAGGAAGGUGGGGAUGACGUCAAAUCAUCAUGCCCUUUAUGAUCUGGGCAACACACGUGCUACAAUGGAUGGUACAAAGAGACGCAAAGUCGCGAGGCAGAGCAAAUCUCAAAAACGCCAUUCUCAGUUCGGAUU